AAAUACCUAGAGGAUAUAGUUUAUCUGUAGCAUAAAACCGACUAUGUGAUAGCCUUGGGAGAAUAAUUACAUGUGGAGUUGAAGGCUGGUCUUGAUUAGCCAGAAUCCAGAAGCAUGUAUGUUUCUUACCACCUCGCGAGAGCGGGUUUUUUAUCACCAGAUAGACUUUCCAUCUGGGUUUUUA
rnacentral:other from 1 species